rnacentral:rRNA from 1 species
UCUGGUUGAUCCUGCCGGAGGCCACUGCUAUCGGGCUCCGACUAAGCCAUGCGAGUCUAGGGGCUCUUCGGAGCACCGGCGGACGGCUCAGUAAACACGUGGACAACCUACCCUCGGGUGGGGGAUAACCUCGGGAAACUGAGGCUAAUACCCUAUAGGUCUCGGAUACUGGAAGGUUCCGAGACUGAAAGCUCCGGCGCCCGAGGAUGGGUCUGCGGCCUAUCAGGUAGUUGGUGGUGUAAAGGACCACCAAGCCUGCGACGGGUACGGGCCCUGGAGAGGGGGAGCCCGGAGAUGGACUCUGAGACACGAGUCCAGGCCCUACGGGGCGCAGCAGGCGCGAAACCUUCGCAAUGCGCGAAAGCGCGACGAGGGGAGCCCGAGUGCCCUUCCUUUUGGGAGGGCUUUUCCGGAGUCUAAAAAGCUCCGGGAAUAAGGGCUGGGCAAGACGGGUGCCAGCCGCCGCGGUAAUACCCGCAGCUCGAGUGGUGGCCACUAUUAUUGAGCCUAAAGCGUCCGUAGCCGGACCCGUAAAUCCCUGGGUAAAUCCUGGCGCUCCAACGUCAGGAAUUCCGGGGAGACUGCGGGUCUUGGGACCGGGAGAGGCCGGAGGUACUCCCGGGGUAGGGGUAAAAUCCUGUAAUCCCGGGGGGACCACCUGUGGCGAAAGCGUCCGGCUUGAACGGUUCCGACGGUGAGGGACGAAGGCCAGGGGAGCGAACCGGAUUAGAUACCCGGGUAGUCCUGGCUGUAAACGCUGCGGGCUAGGUGUUGGGGUACCUUCGGGGAUCCCCAGUGCCGAAGGGAAGCCGGAAGCCCGCCGCUUGGGGAGUACGGCCGCAAGGCUGAAACUUAAAGGAAUUGGCGGG